CAAAACAAAGCAAACAAACCCCCCAAAAAUAAAAGCUCAUCAUGCCUUCAUCUCUUAGACUGUGGCGAGGGCUGCACGUCAUGUCAUGGCUAUGGCAACUGUCAACACUGUGUGCUGGGCUACAGGUCCAAACCUACGACCAUCUUAGGGGGCGGGACGGCAUCGGAGUGUGUCAGCUCAGGAGUUCUGUGCCCUAACCCCGUGGCACACUGCGCUCACAAGACGUACGCCAGCCAAGUGGUGGGCUGCCUAGGCUGUAUCUACUGUGAGGACGGCUACAUCCCGGCUUCCAACCCGCAUUACAGACGGGCGCCGGAGAACAGAACCUCUGGCUUCUAUCACUACCAAAGUCUUAAAGUUUCCGGUUCUUUGGAGAUCAACGAGCCUCGUUAUACCUGCGUGCUUGGUCCUCCUUGCCCCCCUGGUUGGCACAACGACACAAAGGCAGGCUUUGAAAUCUGUGAAAUAGACCAGCUGACCAUUGUGGGGUGAUGAUGGAGACGGGCGGAAUCCUUCAGGCUGUCACGGAGUAUAUGAAUAAUGGUAUGAUAAUAAACAUGGUGUUUUUAGUAUGUUU